rnacentral:lncRNA from 13 species
GGCUGAUGGUUCGGGAAGCUGGGAAGCCCAAGAUCAAAGUGGUAAGGCCCUUCUUGCUGCCUCAUACCACGACAGAAGGCAUCACAUGGAGGAAGGGCAGAAAGCGGGAGAGGGAGAGACAGCAAGAGGAGUGAAUCCCCUCCCAGGAUAGCAAACCCAUUCUCAUAAUAAGAAAAAUAAAGCCUUCAUGACCCAAACACCUCUUAAAGGUCUCACCUUCCAAUACCAUUGCAAUGGCAAUUAAAUUUCAACUUGAGUUUUGAAGGGGAAAGCGUUCAAAUUACAGCUGGUAGGAGUGAACUGAGGGAGAGGGAAGGACAGAAAGCAAAGGUGCAUGCAGAGAUUGAGGGAUGGAGACCACUCAGAUGAUCUGGGUGACAAGGUUGGAAAGACGAGUGGGAAAAAGUGAAGAGUUCCAAAUGUCAGUCUGCACUUCACCUGCAGAUCCAGUGGCUACUGGACAGCCUGUUACUCUUCUCGGUUUAGAGUCUUAAUUUUAGGUUCUAAGCACAAUACAAACUGUCACAAUAUGAAGGCAGAUUAGAACGCACUGUGAAGCUGCUGUGGUUCCCUGGUAGCAGCACAGAGCGGGAGUCUGCCUUGGCACAGGGCCCCUGCCAUGUCACGUGAGAGUCUCAGCCCCCGUCCACAUCUGAAAACACUCAGAACUCAGGGCUAGAGACUAUAAAUCUCUCUUAGCUGGCAGCCUUUGGUGUGAUUCAUUCAUGCCAGAUUCUCAAUAAGAGUAUUCCCAGGCCCCGUUUUUCUGGGUGCCCAGGAACCAUGUGAGUGUGAGGCUGGGAGGCGUCAGAGCAUUUCAGGCCAAGCUUCUUCAUGUCCCCUGCAGUCUGCCAGGUCAGGAUGCAUCUGUUAUAGGUCAUCACCAUGGUUGUUUCACCUCUAGUUCCUGGGUCCAAUGGAGCAGGUGGGGACAGUGAGCCCGGUCACCAGCUGCUCCACAUCUCACUGCACACUCUGCACAUGGAUGAAUCCCACACAGCGGUACUUCUACAUCUGGAGUCCAGAGUCAGCUUUCCGUUGCUAUCAGGCUUCCAAGUUCAAUGAUCUCAUCUCCUAAUUAUUAAACAAAGUAAAAC